AUGCCCAAUGAUUAUAACAAGACGCGUUAUUACGAGGAUCAACACUGGAACUCCCCUUCUACCUUCCUGCUGUUCACUUCCCCCCUCCCCAUUAUCUAUCUUUACCUUCAUUCCUCUUGCUUCCCUCCCCCCUUCUUGGAGUUUCACUCUUCUUCCUCUCUUCCCCCCUCCUUGGAGUUUCCAGUGUCCUAUGAGCAAGAUUAUGAGAUAUGAGGGCAA